AAUAAGGAAAAUAAGGGAAAUCAGGGAAAUAAAUAAGGAAAAUAUGGAAAAUAAGGAAAGUGAGGAAAGUGAGGAGGUUGGGUGGAGAUGUGGGGUUAAUUAACAGAGCGAACGGCCUAAUUAGAGGAGUAAGAGAGAGCAGAGCUGGUGGCCGAGAGGAAACGUGUUGGCCUAAUGAAGUUAUGGGCCUAAUUACAAAGAUAUCGAACAGCUGAUGAAGUUAUGGGCCUAAUUACAAAGAUAUUGGCCUAAUGAAGAUAUUGGCCUAAUUAUGAAGAUAUCGGCCAGCUGAUGAAGAUAUUGGCCUAAUUAGAAGAUAUCGGCCAGCUGAUGAAGAUAUUGGCCUAAUUACAAAGGUAUUGGCCAGCUGAUGAAGAUAUUGGCCUAAUUACAAAGGUAUCUUCCAGCAGAUGAAGAUAUUGGCUUAAUUACAAAGAUGUUGGCCAGCUGAUGAAGAUAUUGGCCUAAUUACGAAGAUAAUGGCCAGCUGAUGAAGAUAUUGGCCUAAUUACAAAGAUAUUGGCCUAAUUACAAAGAUAUUGGCCAAAUGAAGUUAUGGGCCUAAUUACAAAGAUAUCGGCCAGCUGAUGAAGUUAUGGGCCUAAUUACGAAGAUAUCGGCCAGCUGAUGAAGUCAUUGGCCUAAUUACGAAGAUAUCGGCCAGCUGAUGAAGAAUUGGCCUAAUUACAAAGAUAUUGGCCUAAUUACAAAGAUAUCUUCCAGCUGAUGUAGAUAUUGGCCUAAUUACAAAGAUAUCGGCCAGCUGAUGAAGAUAUUGGCUUAAUUACAAAGAUAUUGGCCAG